GGGCCAAAAAAAAUCCCCAAAAACAUACAGUUUUGGUCCUAAACUUACUGCUACUUUUAAUCAAAUUUACACAUGCAAGCAUCCACAUGCCAGUGAAAUAUGCCCUAACAUAGCAUAAAUGGAGCAGGUAUCAGGCACAACUACCAGCCAAAAACACCAAGCUUUGCCACACCCACACGGGCCAUCAGCAGUGAUAAACAUUAAGCAAUAAGCGAACACACCAAACUUAAAGCUUGACUUAGUUAUGAUUAACAGAGCCGGUAAACCUCGUGCCAGCCACCGCGGUUAUACGAGGGGCCCAAAGAAGCAGACUCUCGGCGUAAAUAGUGGCUAGAACAACCACCAUCACAUUAAAAACUAAACCAUAUCCUAACCGUAAAACACAGGAUAAAUGAAAUCAAACACUUUUAAUAACAGGUGAAUUUGACCCACGAAAAAACCUAAGAAAAACAAAACUAGGAAUUUAAGUACCCCUACUUAUGCUUUAGUUAAUAUGUUAAAAAAUAUCCGCCAGAAAACUACGAAGGAAAAGCUUAAAACUAAAAGGACUUGGGCGUGCUCCAUACCGACUUAGAGGAGCCUUUCCUAUAAUCGAUACCCCACGCUAAACCUCACCAAUCUUUGCCAAGUCAGCCUAUAUACCGCCGUCGUCAACCCACCUCAUGAGAGAUAAACAGUGAGUACAAAAGUCUAACAACUAAAACGUCAGGUCAAGGUGUAGCUAAUAGAAUGGAAGAGAUGGGCUACAUUUUUUAAGAUAGAACAUACGGCAAGGUACUAUGAAACUUCUACCCAAAGGAGGAUUUAAUAGUAAAACUAACAAGAAAGUUAAUUUUAAACACGCUCUGGAGCACGCACACACCGCCCGUCACCCUCAUAUCACACAAC
rnacentral:rRNA from 1 species